CCCUUUAUCUCAACUUACAAGUAGUAGAUAUAUUGAAGUCCCUAGAAUCAGAAAUACAAGAGGAAAUUGCAGGAGUAGCAAAACUAACGAUAGAAGAAGAAGGAGGUGAGGAACUUAGAAGAAAUUGAGAGAGAAAGAGUGUCCAGUGAUAACAAAAAGUACUCUGCCCUGCACUGCUCCACUCACGAUGCUUUAUGCCUACUGCUUUGCCAAUUUUACCCCUUUUUACGUGAACUUCCCCCUUUCCACACGUAAUCACCAAGUCUUUUAGGAGGAAUGACCUUUCUAGCAGUCUUACGUGGCAGUCCCAUGUGCUCAUCCUGAGUGGCAUCCCAGUCAACAAUCGUCUCAUUCACAACAUUACUCCCUUCCUGGAAAGCAACCUUGUCCUCAAGGUUGGACUUAGGGAGAUCUUCUGUAGUAGGAACACUCAGAUGUAGAGGAGUCACUUGCUGAUCCGGAGUGCCAACACAUUUCUUCAACAUAGAAAUAUGGAAAACAUAAUGGAUUUUUGCAGAUUCAGGCAGUUCCAGGCGAUAAGCAACAGGACCAAUGCGUUUUAACACCUGAUAGGGCCCAAAAUAACGCCUCUCAAGCUUAUGAUCUCGCUGCAAGCGUAGAGUAUUCUGUCUGAAGGGCUUAAGUUUGACAUACACCCAAUCACCCACCUCAAGGAAGGUAUCAGUCCUAGACUUAUCAGCCAACCGCUUCAUGCGAUUCUGAGCCUUCAACAAAUUGUUUUUGAGGAUGUGCAAGACUUCAUCCCGCUGCAAUAGAUAGGACUCAACUAGUUCGCUCGCACUACUCCCCAAAAUGUACCUAGCAACAGUAGGAGGUUCACGACCAUAUAGUGCCUGGAAGGGGGUCACACCAGCUGAAGUGUGAUAUGAAGUAUUAUACCAAAAUUCUGCCCAUGGCAACAUAGCAACCCAUUGGGAAGGCACCUCAGCGACAUAGCAACGCAAAUAUUGUUCCACACAUUUGUUAAGAGCCUCAGAUUGUCCAUCUGUUUGAGGAUGAUAGGUUGUACUCAUGGCUAAAAUGGAUCUUUGCAAGCGAUUAAUCUCUUGCCAAAAAGAAUGCAAGAACCGCGGAUCAUGAUCUGUCACAAUAGAACGAGGAGGGCCAUGGAGCCUAAUAAUACCCACCACAAAGGCCUCAGCUACUGUAUGAGUCGAGAAAGUAGAUGACAAUGGAAUAAAAUGACCGUACUUAGUGAGACGGUCGAUGACUGUCAUGAUUGUGGUCUUUCCCUUUGAGCUCGGAAGACAAGUAAUGAAGUCCAUUGCAAUAUCCUCAAAGACCUGGUUUGGAAUCGACAAUGGUUGUAGUAGCCCAGCAGGAUGUAGGUGAGAAUCUUUCAUUUGCUGACAUAUAUGACACGCAGCCACAAAAGUUUGUACAUCCGUGCGCAUCCGUUUCCAAAAGAAAUUAGAUGACAAACGAUGGAAUGUGCGCGCAACCCCGGCAUGUCCUCCUAUAGCAGUAGCAUGGAACUCAAGUAGUAAUUUAUGACGUAAGGGAGAGUCCGAGGGAAUCACUAUCCUGCCUUUGUAAAAUAACAUCCCUUCUUUGAACUGAUAGUCAUUAAAAAUUUUAUCCCCAAGAUUCAAGGCUUGUUGUAUUGCUACUAACUCGGGGUUGGUCUGAUUCAGCUGCUUUAAAUCAGCCUCUAUAGCAAAAGAAUUGACUGAAAUAGUCAUGAGAACAGCCUCUGAAGUACGCGACAAGGCAUCUGCUGCUGUGUUCUGUUUUCCAGGCCUAUACAAGAUACGAAAGUCAUAGCCGACAAGUUUAGUGAGCCAUUUUUGUUGCUCAGGGGUCUGUAUAGUCUGGGUAGUUAAGUUACGCAGUGAUUGUUGAUCAGUAAGGAUAGUGAACUGGCGCCCCAAUAGGUACUGUCUUAGCCACAUCCUCAAUCUUGACCCUUAUUUGAUGGUAACCUGAUAACAAUGUUGUGAAUGAGACGAUUGUUGACUGGGAUGCUACUCAGGAUGAGCACAUGGGACUGCCACGUAAGACUGCUAGAAAGGUCAUUCCUCCUAAAAGACUUGGUGAUUACGUGUGGAAAGGGGAAGUUCACGUAAAAAGGGGUAAAAUUGGCAAAGCAGUAGGCAUAAAGCAUCGUGAGUGGAGCAGUGCAGGGCAGAGUACUUUUUGUUAUCACUGGACACUCUUUCUCUCUUAAUUUCUUCUAAGUUCCUCACCUCCUUCUUCCUCACCUCCUGCAAUUUCCUCUUGUAUUUCUGAUUCUAGGGACUUCAAUAUAUCUACUACUUGUAAGUUGAGAUAAAGGGUAUUAAUAUAAGUGUAGUUGGUGUUUCACUGUGUCAAUUUGUUACAUUGGUGCUUUCAUUGAGAGAGAAAGAGUGUCCAGUGAUAACAAAAAGUACUCUGCCCUGCACUGCUCCACUCACGAUGCUUUUAUGCCUACUGCUUUGCCAAUUUUACCCCUUUUUACGUGAACUUCCCCCUUUCCACACGUAAUCACCAAGUCUUUUUAGGAGGAAUGACCUUUCUAGCAGUCUUACGUGGCAGUCCCAUGUGCUCAUCCUGAGUGGCAUCCCAGUCAACAAUCGUCUCAUUCACAACA
rnacentral:lncRNA from 1 species